CCUACGGGUGGCAGCAGUGAGGAAUAUUGGUCAAUGGGCGGAAGCCUGAACCAGCCAAGCCGCGUGAGGGAAGAAUGUACUGUGUGUCGUAAACCUCUUUUGUCAGGGAAAAAAGACUGGUACCUGUCCCCGGAUGCCCGUCCCUGAAGAAUAAGCAUCGGCUAACUCCGUGCCAGCAGCCGCGGUAAUACGGAGGAUGCGCGCGUUAUCCGGAUUUAUUGGGGUUAAGGGGUGCGAAGGCGGUAUGUUAAGUCAGCGGUCAAACGCCGGGGCUUAACCUGGGUUCGCCGUUGAAACUGGCAGACUAGAGUACGAGAGAGGUAGGCGGAAUGCGUGGAGUAGCGGUGAAAUGCAUAGAUAUCACGCAGAACACCGAUUGCGAAGGCAGCAUGCCGGAUUGACACUGACGCUGAGGCACGAAAGCGUGGGUAGCGAACAGGAUUAGAUACCCCAGUAGUC
rnacentral:rRNA from 1 species